rnacentral:rRNA from 1 species
GACGAACGCUGGCGGCGUGCCUAAUACAUGCAAGUCGAGCGAACAGAUAAGGAGCUUGCUCCUUUGACGUUAGCGGCGGACGGGUGAGUAACACGUGGGUAACCUACCUAUAAGACUGGGAUAACUUCGGGAAACCGGAGCUAAUACCGGAUAACAUUUGGAACCGCAUGGUUCUAAAGUGAAAGAUGGUUUUGCUAUCACUUAUAGAUGGACCCGCGCCGUAUUAGCUAGUUGGUAAGGUAACGGCUUACCAAGGCGACGAUACGUAGCCGACCUGAGAGGGUGAUCGGCCACACUGGAACUGAGACACGGUCCAGACUCCUACGGGAGGCAGCAGUAGGGAAUCUUCCGCAAUGGGCGAAAGCCUGACGGAGCAACGCCGCGUGAGUGAUGAAGGGUUUCGGCUCGUAAAACUCUGUUAUUAGGGAAGAACAAACGUGUAAGUAACUGUGCACGUCUUGACGGUACCUAAUCGGAAAGCCACGGCUAACUACGUGCCAGCAGCCGCGGUAAUACGUAGGUGGCAAGCGUUAUCCGGAAUUAUUGGGCGUAAAGCGCGCGUAGGCGGUUUCUUAAGUCUGAUGUGAAAGCCCACGGCUCAACCGUGGAGGGUCAUUGGAAACUGGGAAACUUGAGUGCAGAAGAGGAAAGUGGAAUUCCAUGUGUAGCGGUGAAAUGCGCAGAGAUAUGGAGGAACACCAGUGGCGAAGGCGACUUUCUGGUCUGUAACUGACGCUGAUGUGCGAAAGCGUGGGGACCAAACAGGAUUAGAUACCCUGGUAGUCCACGCCGUAAACGAUGAGUGCUAAGUGUUAGGGGGUUUCCGCCCCUUAGUGCUGCAGCUAACGCAUUAAGCACUCCGCCUGGGGAGUACGACCGCAAGGUUGAAACUCAAAGGAAUUGACGGGGACCCGCACAAGCGGUGGAGCAUGUGGUUUAAUUCGAAGCAACGCGAAGAACCUUACCAAAUCUUGACAUCCUUUGAAAACUCUAGAGAUAGAGCCUUCCCCUUCGGGGGACAAAGUGACAGGUGGUGCAUGGUUGUCGUCAGCUCGUGUCGUGAGAUGUUGGGUUAAGUCCCGCAACGAGCGCAACCCUUAAGCUUAGUUGCCAUCAUUAAGUUGGGCACUCUAGGUUGACUGCCGGUGACAAACCGGAGGAAGGUGGGGAUGACGUCAAAUCAUCAUGCCCCUUAUGAUUUGGGCUACACACGUGCUACAAUGGACAAUACAAAGGGCAGCUAAACCGCGAGGUCAUGCAAAUCCCAUAAAGUUGUUCUCAGUUCGGAUUGUAGUCUGCAACUCGACUACAUGAAGCUGGAAUCGCUAGUAAUCGUAGAUCAGCAUGCUACGGUGAAUACGUUCCCGGGUCU